AGUCAAUGGCUGUCAUUCAGUCAUAGGUUCUUUCUAAAUACUAGCUGGUGAGUUCUGUAAAGAGGUCAUCUCUAGCACUAAAUCUUCAGAGUGGUGGAGGCAGAGCCACAGAUGGAGAAAUUCUGGGCUCUUGUCCACAGGCUCACUGCCCUGCAUGAGGUCUGUGGGAGAGUUGGCAGCAAAAAGAUGAGGGGAAUAAAAGAUGUGGAGCUGCUCGAUUUGGUAGCUGCUGGUGCCCAAGUUCUUGCUGGCAACAGCUCAUAAUAUCUAAGAUGGCAGAUUAAACACUCACUGGCUGGUUGUUGUCUGAGACACCUGGAAGUCUCUUUAGACAUCACUUGCCCCAUCCAAACUGGUGAGGGGCAAGGAGUUGGAAAAUGUUGUCCACAGUGCCACUACACUUGAAGGACUUCUGGGUCUAACCCCAUAGAGAGAGUGGGUAGGUAACAAGCAGAAGAGAAGAAACAUCAGCAGAAACCUAGCUAGACUUGCCUGCUUAUUGGAUCAGAACUUCUCAUAAUUCUGUCAGUUCUCAGAAAGUGCUGUCUGUCUUUUGCACAUGCUCAGAAAGUUUGGGAAUGACAGAUGACAACUAGCCACAGUAGAGAAGUCAGUCUUCUGAAAACCCAGAAUCUGCCCUUUCAGAGCUGGUGGAAGCAGAAACCUGAUGUUCCUUUCUUCCCAUUCUUCACACAUGGCCCAACACACUGGAUUAUUGUCCAUUACACAAGAGCACGUUCAUGCAGGCUUUGGUCACCUCCUGCCUCCAUCCUGGUCCUGGCAGCUUCAUCUC
rnacentral:lncRNA from 1 species